UGAGGAAUAUUGGUCUANGGGCGGAAGCCUGAACCAGCCAAGUAGCGUGCAGGAAGACGGCCCUAUGGGUUGUAAACUGCUUUUAUACGAGAAUAAUUUGAUGCACGUGUGCGUUAUUGCAUGUAUCGUAUGAAUAAGGACCGGCUAAUUCCGUGCCAGCAGCCGCGGUAAUACGGAAGGUCCAGGCGUUAUCCGGAUUUAUUGGGUUUAAAGGGAGUGUAGGCGGUUUGUUAAGCGUGUUGUGAAAUUUAGAUGCUCAACAUUUAACUUGCAGCGCGAACUGUCAGACUUGAGUACACGCAACGUAUGCGGAAUUCAUGGUGUAGCGGUGAAAUGCUUAGAUAUCAUGAAGAACUCCGAUUGCGAAGGCAGCAUACGGGAGUGUAACUGACGCUUAAGCUCGAAGGUGCGGGUAUCGAACAGGAUUAGAUACCCUGGUAGUCCGCACAGUAAACGAUGGAUGCCCGCUGUUAGCGCCUGGCGUUAGCGGCUAAGCGAAAGCAUUAAGCAUCCCACCUGGGGAGUACGCCGGCAACGGUG
rnacentral:rRNA from 1 species